UUAUCUUCCCACUGACGACCUCUCUGUUUCUGAAAGGCUUUUAACCAGCGAGACUGCCUCAGUCGUUCACUCCUCCAAAGCAGGAGUGAAUAUUUCUGUCUGAAAUAUUGUUGGUGGAAUCUGAGGAGUAGUUGAUAUCCUGUUACGGGACUCUGACAUUUUCGUAAGCAUCAAAAGCAUUUUCCGCCAGACUGAAACACUGAUACCAGCUGAAGAGGACGGAGUUCCCCGGAAGGGACACACGCCAGAGCUGAUCAGUGGUAGCAUCAUGCCGUGCAUAGACUUCCAAGCCUCCAAACCUGAAUGUGCCUCAGAUGUGUAUCACAUGCCUGCCUGUCCCACUACAAUUUAAUAUCCAAGAACAGAUACCAGCAGAAAAUAACUUUAAACCUAAGGAAUACAAAGUAACCAUGGGAAUGUGCUGUGAAUGUUCUUUCUUGUUUGAAUGUGAAAAAUUUUGUUCUUCUGCCCAUUAUGAGAUUCUGAGCAGUUUGAAACAUUUUUCUAUUUUUACCUGUCUAUAGAGCACAGAGGAAGCUUCAGAGUUUAUUUUAGUGAAAUUAUAUUACAUUAAGUAAAAUCUCUUGAUAUGCAUUUCUAUGCUAAAGAUAAGACUGCUAAUGGUUUAUUUAUAGAUGUCCCCCCAGUGCCUCAUGCACUCAUAGGUGAGGUUUGGGGGAGGUAAUUAGAUCAUGGAUGUGUGAUACUGGUUUAGUUCACUGAUCAGUUAAACAUGGCUCUGGGUGUACAUAAUGGACUUACUGAAAAGGGAAGACCCUCCCCUCUUCCCUCUGUGGGUGGAACCAACCAGCAAGCUUGGGCCUGGGGAUUUAGCUCACUGGCAUAAGCGCCUGCCUUGCAAGCAGGCAGUCGUGAGUUCAAUCCCCAGUACCAAUAAAAAGGAAAAAGACAAAAAAAAAAAAAUAAUCCAACCAACAGGCUUCUAGCCUGGAUGGAACAAAAAGGGUGAGAAGGCAUUUUGCUGCUUCCUGUGUGCCAUUUCAUGGACUGUUUAUCCCCAGUCAUGCCCUCUACCAUGUAGCCCUGGCCUGAUGUCAGCUGACUGAGGACUGAAAACUCUACAAAACUGUGAGCUAAACUAGACUUUUCAUCCUUUAACUAAUCGGUGUGACAUAUUUUGUCCUGGCAACAAGAAAGUAACUAAAACAAAUGUCAUGCUGUUUACUUAAACAAUUGCAAAACUGAAAUAUUAUAUAUUUUAAUGCAAUUUGUAAUGAAAUGACAUACAGGUCAAUUAAUAAACACUCAAAUUUAUUUCAGUCAUGCCUUUUAUAACAUUUUUAUAUCUAUAAGGAAUUGAAA